AUCCAUCUGAUCGCACAGGAUUC
rnacentral:miRNA from 1 species